GGAUGUGAGGGUGAUCUGGCUAUGACGUCUGUCACCCCAUUGAUGACCAGGGUUGAUUCGGCUGAUCUGGCUGGCGAGGCAGAUGUCCCCCUUCCUCCCUCACAGCUCCAUGUGCAUCCCUCCCAAAGCUGUGCCCUCAGUUGAAGAGGGUGACCUUCCCUGAUAGAGGAGGACCAUUCUUCAGUCAAGGCUAUAGCACCUCCAAACAAGCUCUCAAGGUCCAUUUGUAGGAGAAUGUAGGAUAGUCAAUCUUCCAAGACUCCAGAUGCAUCCAAAGGAGGCAUUGUAUGUUGCAGUCUGCCUGGCUU
ensembl:misc_RNA 7SK 7SK RNA